AUGUUCCUAUGACACCCUAGAUUGUUCUGUUACACAAGGAAUACCAAAGUCCACCCUGAGCUUUUCCUCUGGGAACAGAUUCCAGAUUAUUCUAGACUUAGGACAUGGAGAUAUAUCUUGCUAGAGGUAGGAAGAUGAUAAGAUCAGUUUCUGUAGGUAGAGAAUAAUGUGUCCUAAAAUGUAGGUAGAGAUAAGUUUGACAGUGGUUUAGACAAGAAGGGCCUCUGCUAAUGGUGGAGAGAUCAAGGAAGAAAAGAGCAAUGUUAAAAUUGCUAUACCCACAGGUCAUGCUCAAGCAAACUCGAACCAUGAGCACAUUUCUCUUAAACAAGGAACACUUAGAAUACAAAUACAAAUUUCCCACAAAUUUCAAAUUUUAAAAUAGUUUCCCAAGAUUUCAGUGGUAUCGUAUAUACGCCCACAUAAAUUUUGGAUUACAAUUCCCACAAAUGUAAGAUGAAAGAGGACCUGCCCUCCAUUCUGUCUACUCCCUCUCUGCAAAGGCCAUUUGGAAGGUCUCAGUUGUACUGAAAGGGGUCUGCCACCGUAACCUCCCUGGUGUACCAGCAACAAGUGUUCAGUGGUCCAUGGAAACACAAAGAAUGAUGGAGGAGAGAAAAUGCCCUGCAGAAGAGAGAGUCAAGAUGAAGAUGUGGGAGAGGAGCAGCCCCCAGUAUAGAUUCAGUGUGUCCUCUGAAGUAACAACCAUCCCAUCUGGCUGAGAAGUGAUGGACACGGCUCCUUAGCCACACUGUACACUCCGUUCUUGGCACCUCUCUACCAGAAAGAUAUCGACAAAUUGGAUGGAAUUCAGAGAACAGCAAGAAAAAUGAUUAAAGAGAUGGAGGCAGUGACUUAUGAGGAAAGAUGAAAAGGACUAAAUCUGUAUAGCUUGGCAAAGCAACAACUGAGGUGGCGUAUGAAAACUGUCUACAAGCAUUUGAAAAAUAUAAAUGCCAAAGGAAGAGAGGGAACUUUUUAGAAUGGUCUGGGAAAUAAGCAGAGCAAGAGGACAGAAUUGAAGAAAGGAGAGAGAUACGCUAAGUUGGGUUCCGGGCUCCUGAUCCCUUCACCCACCUGUCAUUAUGCUAAGUAUUUAAUAGAGAUCUACAUGGAUAAUAAACCAGAAGGCACCUCAAAUAAAGGUGGGGGAAAAGAUGAAAGAAAGGGCUUUGGCCUGUGCCUGUUUUGACCUCUGAGAGAUACUUUUUGCAAGAAAUUGUUACGUUUUGGCCCAAAGAGUGGUCGGUGUUUUAUCCUUCUUUGUGGCGGCCAAAAUGCAAACCAGGAUGAAGAAACCAUCAGUGGCAGUUUGGGGAGGCGCAGGAGGGACUAUCUAGACUCAGUGAAUCACCAAGGAAACAUGAGGCCUAUUUCUCUGUGAAGCUAAACUUCAAAAAACAAGCUAAGAGAUACAAAGGGAAAAGUGUGACUGCUCUGACGGCAAAAACAAGCAAAUAUCUCCAGAGGGGAUUAAUCCUUCUGCUUCAAAGUAACUAAAACAAAGAAAGCUGAGCCAGCUUCACUGGAAACAACACCUGUCCAUCAGACAAGGAUGAGCUAAUCAAAAGAAAACGCUGCCUAUGUGCACGACUCAUCAGCCUGGACAGCUAACACUAAGGAACACGUUUUCACUAUAAAGAUUCAGCUUUCGAAAUCCAGUUCCCUCUUGUAGAGCCACAGGGUUAAAAGGGACCUUAGAGAUCAUCUACAUACAGGCCAAACCCUCAAUGAAUGCCAGUGUUUGCUUUAUGUCCUUCUUGCCAGACUCUUUUCUGGCCUCUGUUCUGUCAGGAUGUUUCCUGUUUCAGAAAACCGUUUUAAUCCUUGAGUAGAUUUAAUUGCUGGAAAACAGUUCCUUAAAUUUGGCCCCAAAUUUAAGUGUAAUUUAUGAAGAAAGUUUUGGCCUUUGGAGACAAGUUUAAUUUUACUUCCAUGUGGAAAACCUUCAAAUAAAAUGAUGACUAUUGUGUACUCACGAA